CAAAAGGCUCUUUUCAGAGCCACCACAGCACCUGAGGUCACAUUCCU
rfam:Takifugu rubripes chromosome, Chr_10